GAUGAACGCUGACAGAAUGCUUAACACAUGCAAGUCAACUUGAAUUUGGGUUUUUAACUUAGGUUUGGGUGGCGGACGGGUGAGUAACGCGUAAAGAACUUGCCUCACAGCUAGGGACAACAUUUGGAAACGAAUGCUAAUACCUAAUAUUAUGAUAAUAGGGCAUCCUAUAAUUAUGAAAGCUAUAAGCGCUGUGAGAGAGCUUUGCGUCCCAUUAGCUAGUUGGAGAGGUAACGGCUCGCCAAGGCGAUGAUGGGUAGCCGGCCUGAGAGGGUGAUCGGCCACAAGGGGACUGAGACACGGCCAUUACUCAUACGGGAGGCAGCAGUGGGGAAUAUUGGACAAUGGACCAAGAGUCUGAUCCAGCAAUUCUGUGUGCACGAUGAAGUUUUUCGGAAUGUAAAGUGCUUUCAGUUGGGAAGAAAGAAAUGACGGUACCAACAGAAGAAGUGACGGCUAAAUACGUG
rnacentral:rRNA from 1 species